GACGAACGCUGGCGGCGUGCUUAACACAUGCAAGUCGAACGGAAAGGCCCUGCUUUUGUGGGGUGCUCGAGUGGCAACGGGUGAGUAACACGUGAGUAACCUGCCCUUGACUUUGGGAUAACUUCAGGAAACUGGGGCUAAUACCGGAUAGGAGCUCCUGCUGCAUGGUGGGGGUUGGAAAGUUUCGGCGGUUGGGGAUGGACUCGCGGCUUAUCAGCUUGUUGGUGGGGUAGUGGCUUACCAAGGCUUUGACGGGUAGCCGGCCUGAGAGGGUGACCGGCCACAUUGGGACUGAGAUACGGCCCAGACUCCUACGGGAGGCAGCAGUGGGGAAUAUUGCACAAUGGGCGGAAGCCUGAUGCAGCAACGCCGCGUGCGGGAUGACGGCCUUCGGGUUGUAAACCGCUUUCGCCUGUGACGAAGCGUGAGUGACGGUAAUGGGUAAAGAAGCACCGGCUAACUACGUG
rnacentral:rRNA from 1 species